rnacentral:sRNA from 1 species
AGAAGAAAAGAAAGAAAGAAAAUUUGGGUGCUCAGAAUUCACAAUGUCUGCUAUGGCAUAACAGGCAAAAUCGUUCUUAUUUUACCCUUGACACAAAGGACAUACUAAGUUUGCAGACAGUACUUGUUGAUAGUGGGUCACAAUGAGACACUUCUAAAGGCAACUGGAUGGGAAUGCUUUUUAGCCCUGUCUUGACAACCUGUGUGACAUUUAGUCCUCUCGACUUUUCUCAUGAUUAUAUGAAAAUUGCUUGUAUAGUCCCCGAAGACAGACAGCGUGUCGGCCAUUGCCUCAUCCCUGUUUCUGUCUCACUCAUGUUAUCUAAAUGUUAUUUCCUUCAUAGCAAACUUUUGGUGAUCAUUAUUAAUUCAUUACUAAGACAAAGGUCAUUUUAAUACAGUUACAAUGUUAUAAAACAUACCACACAGGAUAAGAGAAGUACCCUGCAGCAAGACAUCUUCAUUCUUCUCAAAGGAAGAUUCAGCUGUGAUGAGGAGAUCAGGGCUCUCAAGAUUUACCCAACAUGAUGUUUACAUUUUAACAUAUUCACAUGUCAGAAAUAGCUUGUAGGUUUCCUCUCAGAACUUCCGGAAUUCAUUAUGGACACAUCUUACUAUAUGGGAUCACUCUAACCAGGUAUUUUGGAAGUGACUCCGUAUGGGGUGGCAAAAGUGUAGCCAAUAUUUACUAAACAAUUUCAUGCAUAUAUAAACUAACUUAGUAAUAGUACAAUGUUUCUCUCUGUCUUUAGGGGCUCUCAUUAUAGUUGUGCUGAAAAACAUUUCGAGUGUUUAAAAUGAGCGCAUUUGCAUGGCUCAGACCCAGUUGUGUUUCUUGGUGCUUGGUGUUCAGUAAACUGUAGGAAAGCUCACCUCCGCUGGCUUCCUGUGAUGUCACAAUGAAGGACUACUUGCUACCAAGAUGAAGCCAGACUUUGGAAGUUCAAGGAAGAUGCAACUUGUCGCAAGUCUGAGGGUGGACAGGCUAUGUGACAGGGAAUGUGGAUGUAUUUAGGAACUGGGGGCAGCUUUAUAUUAACUGCCAGCAAGGGUUCUCCAAAUGAGAAGCAAGCGGUCAGUUCUUCCAACAGCAAGAACAGAGUUUGAAAUCGGACCCACCUCUUCCCCAGAACCUUGUUGAAAACAGCCCAGCAUGUUGACAAUUUCACAGGGACCUCAGCCAUUGGAUAACUGACUUCUGACUUACAACAUGCCUCAUCUCCGUGUCUGCUUACUCCUAAAUAAAAUAGAAAUAUAAA